GGAAGUAAAAGUCGUAAACAAGGUCUCCGUUGGUGAACCAGCGGAGGGAUCAUUACCGAGUUUACAACUCCCAAACCCAAUGUGAACGUUACCAAUCUGUUGCCUCGGCGGGAUUCUCUGCCCCGGGCGCGUCGCAGCCCCGGAUCCCAUGGCGCCCGCCGGAGGACCAACUCAAACUCUUUUUUCUCUCCGUCGCGGCCUACGUCGCGGCUCUGUUUUAUUUUUGCUCUGAGCCUUUCUCGGCGACCCUAGCGGGCGUCUCGAAAAUGAAUCAAAACUUUCAACAACGGAUCUCUUGGUUCUGGCAUCGAUGAAGAACGCAGCGAAAUGCGAUAAGUAAUGUGAAUUGCAGAAUUCAGUGAAUCAUCGAAUCUUUGAACGCACAUUGCGCCCGCCAGUAUUCUGGCGGGCAUGCCUGUCCGAGCGUCAUUUCAACCCUCGAACCCCUCCGGGGGGUCGGCGUUGGGGAUCGGCCCCUCACCGGGCCGCCCCCGAAAUACAGUGGCGGUCUCGCCGCAGCCUCUCCUGCGCAGUAGUUUGCACACUCGCACCGGGAGCGCGGCGCGGCCACAGCCGUAAAACACCCCAAACUCUGAAAUGUUGACCUCGGAUCAGGUAGGAAUACCCGCUGAACUUAAGCAUAUCAAUAAGCGGAGGA
rnacentral:rRNA from 1 species